CCCCGCGUUUCUGCCCGGGCCCUGGAACGCAGGCCACCGGCUCCAGGCGGAAGCGAGCCCAAAGCCGGCCAGGCGGCAGCAUGCGCUACUCCGUGGCUCAAGCCAGGCUCCGAGUUGUUCUGCCAAGAAAAGGCCUGAAUCGGGGUGAUGGGAGCUGUAAGGAGACAAGCUUUGGAAUGAGUUUUAACAAUCAAGUUGCCUUAAUUCCAUCAUUGGGAGACUUGUUUUUAAUCGAGCAGCAAAUAGCAAAAGGAACAAGACUCCCAGCCUCAAGGAUCACUUGAAGCCAGCAGUUCAAGACCAGCCUGGGCAACAUAGUGAGACCCCUGUCGCUACAAAAAAUUUAAAAAACAAUAGCCAGGUGUGGUGGUGAGUGCCUGUAGUCCCAGCAGCUAUGGAAGCCUGAGAUGGCAGGAUCGCUUGAGCCCAGGAGUUCAAGGCUGCAGUGAGCC